AUUGAACGCUGGCGGCAGGCCUAACACAUGCAAGUCGAGCGGAUGAAGGGAGCUUGCUCCUGGAUUCAGCGGCGGACGGGUGAGUAAUGCCUAGGAAUCUGCCUGGUAGUGGGGGAUAACGUCCGGAAACGGGCGCUAAUACCGCAUACGUCCUGAGGGAGAAAGUGGGGGAUCUUCGGACCUCACGCUAUCAGAUGAGCCUAGGUCGGAUUAGCUAGUUGGUGGGGUAAAGGCCUACCAAGGCGACGAUCCGUAACUGGUCUGAGAGGAUGAUCAGUCACACUGGAACUGAGACACGGUCCAGACUCCUACGGGAGGCAGCAGUGGGGAAUAUUGGACAAUGGGCGAAAGCCUGAUCCAGCCAUGCCGCGUGUGUGAAGAAGGUCCUCGGAUUGUAAAGCACUUUAAGUUGGGAGGAAGGGCAGUAAGUUAAUACCUUGCUGUUUUGACGUUACCAACAGAGUAAGCACCGGCUAACUUCGUG
rnacentral:rRNA from 1 species